rnacentral:rRNA from 1 species
ACGCUCGACACCUACGGAAGGCAGCAGUGAGGAAUAUUGGUCAAUGGGCGCUAGCCUGAACCAGCCAAGUAGCGUGAAGGAUGAAGGCUCUAUGGGUCGUAAACUUCUUUUAUAUAAGAAUAAAGUGCAGUAUGUAUACUGUUUUGUAUGUAUUAUAUGAAUAAGGAUCGGCUAACUCCGUGCCGGCAGCCGCGGUAAUCUGAGCGGGCUGGCAAGGC